GAUUAUGACCCCGCGACCCCAAUCUACGUGGCGAUCCGCAAUUCGCUACUUCAUACUGACUGGCGUCCGGCAUCGUCCCGAAUUUGGCCGCAAUCUGCUCUCGGGACCCUGUAGGGCUCCCUGACCUGCUCCAUCUCCGCCAUCGUCAAUGUACUGCGCAUCCACCCAGGCCAGGACUGCACUUACUUACGGGAAGGAGUAUUUGCAAGAUGGAACCUGGGAACUGGAAGACGACGAAGAAGAAGCGUGGGAAUCCGGCAGCAAUGGCUGGGAUGUAAGUCCAACAUUGCUGGUGCUAGAGUUGCCACUGCUUGCUUAUAAGGGAAUCAUGUGUGUUGCCCUUUUUUGCCUUUUCCGACGUCCUCCUCCGACUGUACUCCCAGGACUGAACUUACGGGAAGGAGUGCUUCCAAGAUGGGAGACGAAGAAGAAGAAGCCGCUGAAUCCGGCGGCAAUGGCUGGGAUGCUGCGUUCUCGAGAAGAAGCGUUAUUUCUGCAUUCCAAGAAGGACGACACAAUGGUGAGUGGAACUUCGUGGGUGUGCAGCCUUGCUAGUUGAGUUGUAAAUCAAUCAUUCUUCCUGUCUCUGACUUCUUCAAUGUCCUCCUCAGUGUCGGACUGUCCGCGUCGCAUUGAAUUGGUCCGAUGAGGCUGCUAUUGCACACACAGUGAGGGAACUCCCAUACGGGAACUCGGAAGUACUGCUACAGUACAGGUAUAUCAUCCCGUGACGACCACAUUGAAGUCUGAAUUUGAAGUGUGAAGAUGCUUCAGGAACCCCUUCAUUUUUUCCAUUGCUUUUAUUGUGCUGCUACUGUGCAUGUGAUGGCAACGUAUGCCGGUGACACGGUCAGAUUUUGUCCAUGCGUGUAACGUACACCUGCAUGCUAUCGUUGAAAAGGAUCUGCCACUUACGAUCUUCGGACGAGUAUCAGGUCAGCUUGGUUUUGUGUGGGCUGUACCAGAUGCUGUUCACUUCUCUAUCUGUUGGAUAUGUGACUUUCUGCAAGUUUCUGGUGUAUGGUGGCCACUUCUUUGCUUGUCUUUGUAUGACAUUACAAUCAUUCUGCACUCACUGCUUCCAUGGUGUGGUCUGCAAACUGCAAUCCUUACGCAAAUAUCAUCACGGUUUGCAAUGUUGUGCUUUGGCUGCCAGCUUACCUUUAUUUUGUUUCACAACUGACUUCCUGAAGUAUGGUGG